UCGUUGAAUAAUUUUAGUUCUAAAAUCACAAUUCGAAAAAGGGAGUAUAUUUCGAUGGUAAAAAAUUAAUUGAUAUCCGUUUGGGCAAGAAUUUGGGCCUUGGUAAUUCAUGGAAUUUGAGGCAAAAGAUAUUUGAGUAGGAGAAUUCUGAUCCAUACAAACAUGUGUAAAAUUCAUAAAAUUCGUCGCAGCAGCGUAAAGAAGCAUUUCAGACACGCCACUUUCAUUUCCAACUCACAUCCAUCGGAGAGAGCAGGCACGGAAAGCGGAAUUGCAAAGCUCAAAGCGUUAGCAUUAUAAAAGAGAAGAUGGACCAUAUAGAUAUCAAAAGAGUAUAUUUUAAAGAAGAUCCGGUAAUUACCAUUGAGUCGUACUUAAAAUUAAUUAAAUUACGUCGUAAGUAUAUUGCUAAUUUUUUAAUAGUUUAAAAAUAAUUUGAUCUGGAAUUUUCAGCUCCAAAGAACUAUCAAGAAGAAAUGGAAAAGUUUGUCAAGUAUGUGUGGGUUUCGAAAGAAUCACACUCCCCGACGGACGUUUUAAAAGCUCUCUCUCGGUUGCUUGGUCCAAAGAUAGUGGAAGUUAAUUUUUUUCGUUUCAUGGACCUGUUCCCUCCGUCGACGAAUUUUGAAAUAGAGGCGUUACGGAUGAUCUGCACCAAAGCAACCAAAAUAUCUCAGUUUAAUAUAUUUCCCCUUUAUUGUGAGGCAAAAAAUCCGAUAAAAAUAGAACGAGACAUGUGGUCUAAAAUACGAAAAAUGAAAUCAUUGCGGAAGGUGGAGAUAGAGGACUUUUAUUUUGACUUGGAAAACCUGAUGGCCAUGAGCAAGAAGCUGAAGAACUUGAGACAACUCGCAGUCAGACUCGAUCCUUCGAUAAAUCCGAAUACAACAUUCGAAACAAAAAGAUUUCGUAGGAAGUUACAUACCAGUUUUAGCCAACUGACAUCGUUUCUCUUUACAUCACUAUGGAGAAAUGAAAUAGACGGAAACGAACUACAGUAUAAAUUGACUAAAUACUGUGUGCAAUAUUUGCCCAAGUUAGAACACGUCGGGAGUGAAGAAUGCUUGUAUGACAUGUCAACGUGGGGAAACAACAUUAAGAAGAAGAAGAAGAAGUCUAACAUCCGACAGUUGAACUUAUUAAUGGAUACCUUCGAAAGAAAUGCAUGCAGUGUGGAAAUAUUUGCCUACGUUGAAAGUUUAUAUAUUGAUUGUAGCCCAGCAUAUGAAGUACAACAAAAUGAAUACGCACCUCAUUCCAAAUUUUCCAAUCUAUUGAGAACCUACGCUGAAACAUUGAAAAAGCUCACAAUCACCCGCACGGAAAAACUGGACAUGCGCGCUGUUUACAACUACAUAGUAAGGUCCUGUCCGAACCUGGAAUCUUUGCACAUAUACCGAACGAAAUUCGAUUUCAAAGAAAUCAAUUUACAGAAGCUCUUCGUCAAACUAGAAAAUCUAUAUGUUGUUUUCUACAAUGAUGCAAGUGAUAUUUGUCUACCAAAUCUGCUCUUGGUGACUCCGGCUCUCGUCAAAGUCCAUCUUUCGCAGGCCAAAGUCUCAGUAAAAGACUUGAAAAAAACGUCAAGGUUGGUGAGCGCUAAGAAGGUUUUAAGAAAUAUAAACGAUUUUAAAAUGAAGCUGAAAGUGGAUCCCUCUAUCGAAGAAGAGGUCAGAAAUGAACUUAUUGAUCUUCGCAAAGAGAUGUUAAAGAAUCGUCGAGAUGCAAGGUUUGACUGUAAAAUUUUAGAUUAAGUUGCCAGGAAUAAGGACGAUAAGAAAUUGAUGAAUUAUUAACAUGAAUUUUUGCGUCUUUUGCUCUUUCAUGUUACGGAAUUUUGUCUUGUAAAUGAACGUUCAUUUCGUAAAUAUUGUAAUAUGUAUUCUUUUAACCGCUAUUGCAAUUAUUAAAAUAAAUUUGAUAACAAAUCAAUUUUAUGCAAAUAAAUUAUGAAUAAUAUAUAUGCAGUUGUUGCAUUUCAAUCUGUUUUACUUCCUUAAAGAAUAAUAGCCGAGAAGAGUUACUAAGUUUUCUUAAUUUUCAAUCCAACAAUACAAUUUGAAAAGAUUUCUUAAAUUCCAAAAUUUUCUCUGUUGGCGAAAUGUGUAAAAAGCGCAUAUU